rnacentral:rRNA from 1 species
CCUACGGGAGGCAGCAGUAGGGAAUAUUGCUCAAUGGGGGAAACCCUGAAGCAGCAACGCCGCGUGGAGGAUGAAGGUUUUCGGAUUGUAAACUCCUUUUGUUAGAGAAGAUAAUGACGGUAUCUAACGAAUAAGCACCGGCGAAGUCCGUGCCAGCAGCCGCGGUAAUACGGAGGGUGCAAGCGUUACUCGGAAUCACUGGGCGUAAAGAGCGCGUAGGCGGGAUAGCAAGUCAGAGGUGAAAUCCUAUGGCUUAACCAUAGAACUGCAUUUGAAAUUGUUAUUAUAGAGUAUGGGAGAGGUAGGUGGAAAGCUGGGUGUAGGGGUAAAAGCCGUAGAGAUAAAGAGGAAUACUCAUUGCGAAGGCGACCUGCUAGAACAUAACUGACGCUGAUGCGCGAAAGCGUGGGGAGCAAACAGGAUUAGAUACCCCAGUAGUC